AACGAACGCUGGCGGCAUGCCUAACACAUGCAAGUCGAACGAGAUCUUCGGGUCUAGUGGCGCACGGGUGCGUAACGCGUGGGAAUCUGCCCUUUGGUUCGGAAUAACUCAAGGAAACUUGAGCUAAUACCGGAUAAUGACUUCGGUCCAAAGAUUUAUCGCCUGAGGAUGAGCCCGCGUCGGAUUAGCUAGUUGGUGAGGUAAAGGCUCACCAAGGCGACGAUCCGUAGCUGGUCUGAGAGGAUGAUCAGCCACACUGGGACUGAGACACGGCCCAGGCUCCUACGGGAGGCAGCAGUGGGGAAUAUUGGACAAUGGGCGAAAGCCUGAUCCAGCAAUGCCGCGUGAGUGAUGAAGGCCUUAGGGUUGUAAAGCUCUUUUACCCGGGAUGAUAAUGACAGUACCGGGAGAAUAAGCCCCGGCUAACUCCGUGCCAGCCGCCGCCGUAA
rnacentral:rRNA from 1 species